AUCCUUUCGUAGUUCAUAGGAGUGACGACUGGGCUUUCACAUGUGUGAGUGAGAUAUGCCUCCCUCAAAUCUUGUGACACAUUGGCACAUUACCCAUCUGUGG
ensembl:snoRNA